rfam:Canis lupus familiaris chromosome 35, whole genome shotgun sequence.
UUAAAGGCUCUUUUAAGAGCUACUCACAUUUUGCAAAUUGAGAGUU